rnacentral:rRNA from 1 species
UGGGGAAUUUUGGACAAUGGGCGAAAGCCUGAUCCAGCAAUGCCGCGUGUGUGAAGAAGGCCUUCGGGUUGUAAAGCACUUUUGUCCGGAAAGAAAUCCUUGGCUCUAAUACAGUCGGGGGAUGACGGUACCGGAAGAAUAAGCACCGGCUAACUACGUGCCAGCAGCCGCGGUAAUACGUAGGGUGCAAGCGUUAAUCGGAAUUACUGGGCGUAAAGCGUGCGCAGGCGGUUUGCUAAGACCGAUGUGAAAUCCCCGGGCUCAACCUGGGAACUGCAUUGGUGACUGGCAGGCUAGAGUAUGGCAGAGGGGGGUAGAAUUCCACGUGUAGCAGUGAAAUGCGUAGAGAUGUGGAGGAAUACCGAUGGCGAAGGCAGCCCCCUGGGCCAAUACUGACGCUCAUGCACGAAAGCGUGGGGGAGCAAACAGGAUUAGAUACCCUGGUAGUCCACGCCCUAAACGAUGUCAACUAGUUGUUGGGGAUUCAUUUCCUUAGUAACGUAGCUAACGCGUGAAGUUGACCGCCUGGGGAGUACGGUCGCAAGAUUAAAACUUAAAUGAAUUG